rnacentral:rRNA from 1 species
GACGAACGCUGGCGGCGUGCUUAACACAUGCAAGUCGAACGCUGAAGCUCAGCUUGCUGGGUGGAUGAGUGGCGAACGGGUGAGUAACACGUGAGUAACCUGCCCUCUUCUUUGGGAUAACGCCCGGAAACGGGUGCUAAUACUGGAUAUUCACUGAUUCUCGCAUGGGGGUUGGUGGAAAGGUUUUUUCUGGUGGGGGAUGGGCUCGCGGCCUAUCAGCUUGUUGGUGGGGUGAUGGCCUACCAAGGCUUUGACGGGUAGCCGGCCUGAGAGGGUGACCGGUCACAUUGGGACUGAGAUACGGCCCAGACUCCUACGGGAGGCAGCAGUGGGGAAGAUUGCACAAGGGGCGAAAGCCUGAUGCAGCGACGCCGCGUGAGGGAUGGAGGCCUUCGGGUUGUAAACCUCUUUCGCUCAUGGUCAAGCCGCAGCUUGGGGUUGUGGUGAGGGUAGUGGGUAAAGAAGCGCCGGCUAACUACGUG